AGAGACAGCAGCCGCCGCGGUAAUACGAAGGGUGCAAACGUUGCUCGGAAUUAUUGAGCGUAAAGCGCACGUAGGCGGCUCCGCAAGUCGGAUGUGAAAUCCCUCGGCUUAACCAAGGAAGUGCAUCCGAAACUGCAGAGCUUGAGUACUUAAGAGGAUCGCGGAAUUCCCGGUGUAGAGGUGAAAUUCGUAGAUAUCGGGAGGAACACCAGUGGCGAAGGCGACGAUCUGGGAAGAUACUGACGCUGAGGUGCGAAAGCGUGGGGGGCAAACAGGAUUAGAUACCCCGGUAGUCCCUGUCUCUUAUAC
rnacentral:rRNA from 1 species